rnacentral:rRNA from 1 species
CCCUUAGAUGUCCUGGGCCGCACGCGCGCUACACUGAUGCGUCCAACGAGCUUUCCUUGGUCGAGAGGCCUAGGUAAUCUUUUGAACGCGCAUCGUGAUAGGGAUAGAUCAUUGCAAUUAUUGAUCUUGAACGAGGAAUUCCUAGUAAACGCGAGUCAUCAGCUCGCAUUGAUUACGUCCCUGCCCUUUGUACACACCGCCCGUCGCACCUACCGAUUGAACGAUUCGGUGAAAACUCCGGACUGUGGUUGCACGUCCUUUAUUGGAUGCGCUUCCGUGGGAAGUUGUGUGAACCUCAUCGUUUAGAGGAAGGUGAAGUCGUAACA